ACAUGCAGUCGAGCGGACAGAAGGGAGCUUGCUCCCGGAUGUUAGCGGCGGACGGGUGAGUAACACGUGGGUAACCUGCCUGUAAGACUGGGAUAACUCCGGGAAACCGGAGCUAAUACCGGAUAGUUCCUUGAACCGCAUGGUUCAAGGAUGAAAGACGGUUUCGGCUGUCACUUACAGAUGGACCCGCGGCGCAUUAGCUAGUUGGUGGGGUAAUGGCUCACCAAGGCGACGAUGCGUAGCCGACCUGAGAGGGUGAUCGGCCACACUGGGACUGAGACACGGCCCAGACUCCUACGGGAGGCAGCAGUAGGGAAUCUUCCGCAAUGGACGAAAGUCUGACGGAGCAACGCCGCGUGAGUGAUGAAGGUUUUCGGAUCGUAAAGCUCUGUUGUUAGGGAAGAACAAGUGCGAGAGUAACUGCUCGCACCUUGACGGUACCUAACCAGAAAGCCACGGCUAACUACGUGCCAGCAGCCGCGGUAAUACGUAGGUGGCAAGCGUUGUCCGGAAUUAUUGGGCGUAAAGGGCUCGCAGGCGGUUUCUUAAGUCUGAUGUGAAAGCCCCCGGCUCAACCGGGGAGGGUCAUUGGAAACUGGGAAACUUGAGUGCAGAAGAGGAGAGUGGAAUUCCACGUGUAGCGGUGAAAUGCGUAGAGAUGUGGAGGAACACCAGUGGCGAAGGCGACUCUCUGGUCUGUAACUGACGCUGAGGAGCGAAAGCGUGGGGAGCGAACAGGAUUAGAUACCCUGGUAGUCCACGCCGUAAACGAUGAGUGCUAAGUGUUAGGGGGUUUCCGCCCCUUAGUGCUGCAGCUAACGCAUUAAGCACUCCGCCUGGGGAGUACGGUCGCAAGACUGAAACUCAAAGGAAUUGACGGGGGCCCGCACAAGCGGUGGAGCAUGUGGUUUAAUUCGAAGCAACGCGAAGAACCUUACCAGGUCUUGACAUCCUCUGACAACCCUAGAGAUAGGGCUUUCCCUUCGGGGACAGAGUGACAGGUGGUGCAUGGUUGUCGUCAGCUCGUGUCGUGAGA
rnacentral:rRNA from 1 species